AGCAGCUGUAAGAAGCAAGUGUUAAAAUACAAAGAUUCAAACCACUCUGCAGUGUUGGUGUUUCAUUCCGUCGCCAGCAUCUGGCGCCCAGCCCGGGGCACGACAGAACCGAAAGGGAUCUGGGUUCCAUUGAGAUUGGUGAAGUUGCAGGAUGAGCGACCGGUUCGUGCGCCAGUUUCAGGAACUGUCAAUGCAGAGGACUUUCACCUUUGCGACAAGAGAGGCAGGUCCACCGACAUGGGGACAGUUGAAGAAACUGACUCAAGAAGCUGAGAAAACAUUGCAGAAAGCAGGACAACCAUUGAAUCCUACUAAUCUUUUGUUGGCCAUGAUGGCGGUGGUAACUUGUCAGGUAAUGUAUGUGGAAGCCACAAACUAUACCCAUUGGGCCUAUAUCCCUAAUCCUCCUUUGGUGCGGGCGGUGUCCUGGGGUGAAGUAGAAGUCCAAGUUUGUACUAACGAAACUAAUUUUUUCCCUCCACCUGAUUGUGGAGGGAUUGAGCAAUUAUCCCAGCAUGUACAGAAUUAUAACUUUACUAAUCUUACUAUAGCAGCUGAAGGUAUUCCUUUAUGUAUAGGAGGGCAUUCUUUUUGUCUGUCUACAAAAACACACUCACAUCAUUCUUGUAAUACUUGGGGAGUUAAUUAUAGGGGACAACACUUCGCUGUUUUUACUGUGCUCAUUUCUUCUCGUGGCUUUAAUACUUCACAGUCUUAUUUAAAUAAGAGUAAGAGGAUACAUAUGUCCCUCUGCCCUGCUUCAUUUUUUGAAGCAUCUUUAUCACGUCUGGAGUGGGAACAUUGCAGGGAUCAUGACCCUCGUCUAGUUAUGAAUUUUUGAAAUCAUGUAAUUAUAGAUUGGAGUCCUACUCAUGGAGAAUUUUUAGAAAAAUGGUCUAAUCGAUCUUUAAAAUGGCAUCGCAUAAAUGGUACCUUGAAUGAUCAAGGAAAGGAAACUGUAAAAUGGCAACAUUUUGCAUUGGUUCCACCUCCAUUACAAAUGGAUGGGCACCCUCAAUUACAAGGAGAUAUACGGAAAUUAUGGGCAGUGUCAGGUGACCUUACUAUAUGGACGGGAAACUUUAAAUAUUAACGAUCCUAAGGGGCCAUUUCAAGUUCAUUUGCAUAUUAAUAAAUCUUACUCUGCUAUAGCAUGUGUAAAAUUUCCUUAUUCUUUACUGUAUGGGCAGUGGAUUUGGAAUGAAAUUUUGGGAGUUAUAUCAUGUUCUGAUUGUAACUUGACUCAAUGUAUAAAUCAUUCCUGGUGGGAAAAUGUUGAAAACAAGAUGGUCCAUUCCAGUAAUCACUCUUUGGUCAUUGCGAAAGCACGGGCUGAACUCUGGUUGCCUGCUAAUCUCACUCGGCCGCAGUCGGGCUCUUUUGCUGUCGCUCCUCUUGUGAAUGCUGUGCAAACGCUUCUCCAUCGAUCCCGAAGAAUGCUUGGCAUCGUCAUCGCAUCAAUUCUCGCCGUGGCUUCAGUAACAGCAACAGCAACUGUAGCAGCUCUUGCUUUGCAUCAGGGCAUCCAGACUGCUGAUUUUGUCAGGGAGUGGCAUAAGGAUGCUCAUUUAUUGUGGCAACAACAGCAUGAUUUGGACGCUCAAUUGGCUACUGAUGUAUUGAAUUUACAACUCACUGUUUCCUGGUUAGGAGAUCAAGUGACUGUGUUAGCUACAAAGAGUGUGUUAAAAUGUGAUUGGAACUCAUCUCACCUAUGUGUAACCCCUGUUCCCUUUAAUAUGAGUGAGGGUUAAGAAAAGGUGAAAAGGUCUUUAGUGGGACACCAGAAUUUAACUGCUGAAAUUAUGGAAUUGAAACAAACUAUAUUGUCAACUUUUAGUAAGACGCUGCCUGAUAUUCUUGGUUCUGAUAUACUGAAGAGUCUUCAAGAAGGAUUAGAUAACCUUAAUCCUUUAGGGCAUGUAUCUACAUUGUUAA